rnacentral:rRNA from 1 species
GACGAACGCUGGCGGCGUGCUUAACACAUGCAAGUCGAACGGAAAGGCCCUGCUUGCAGGGUACUCGAGUGGCGAACGGGUGAGUAACACGUGGGUGAUCUGCCCUGCACUUCGGGAUAAGCCUGGUCAACUGGGUCUAAUACCGGAUAGGAGCCAUUUUUAGUGUGAUGGUUGGAAAGUUUUUUCGGUGUAGGAUGAGCUGGCGGCCUAUCAGCUUGUUGGGGGGGUAAUGGCCUACCAAGGCGGCGGCGGGUAGCCGGCCUGAGGGGGUGGACGGCCACACUGAGACCGAGGGACGGCACAGGCAGCGACGGGAGGGAGCAGGGGGGAAUAUUGACCGAUGGGCGCAAGGCUGAUGAAGAGAGGCCGCGUGGGGGAUGACGGUCUUAGGGUUGUAAACCACUUUCGCAAGGAACGAAGCUUUUUGUGACGGUACCUAGAUAAGAAGCACCGGCUAACUACGUG